CAAGAUGUGGCUAAAACAGUAAAGCAUCUCUCUUACACUGAGAAGUCGUCCGUGCAAAUCGAACCAUUUUGA
rnacentral:tRNA from 2 species